rnacentral:rRNA from 1 species
CAGCAGCCGCGGUAAUACAGAGACUGCAAGCGUUGUUCGGAUUCAUUGGGCGUAAAGGGUGCGCAGGCGGUGCGUUAAGUCGGAUGUGAAAUCUCACAGCCUAACUGUGAUAGGUCAUUCGAAACUGACGUGCUAGAGGACUGGAGAGGAGACUGGAAUGGUCGGUGUAGCGGUGAAAUGCGUAGAGAUCGACCAGAACACCGGUGGCGAAGGCGGGUCUCUGGACAGUUCCUGACGCUCAGGCACGAAAGCCAGGGGAGCAAACGGGAUUAGAUACCCCGGUAGUCCUGGCCCUAAACGGUGUUCACUUGGUGUGCGGGGAGUCGACCCCCUGCGUGCCGCAGCUAACGCGAUAAGUGAACCGCCUGGGAAGUACGGCCGCAAGAUUAAAACUCAAAGGAAUUGACGG